GAUGAACGCUGGCGGCGUGCUUAACACAUGCAAGUCGAACGAAGCACUUUAACGGAUUUCUUCGGAAUGAAGUUCUUGUGACUGAGUGGCGGACGGGUGAGUAACGCGUGGGUAACCUGCCUCAUACAGGGGGAUAACAGUUAGAAAUGACUGCUAAUACCGCAUAAGACCACAGUACCGCAUGGUACAGGGGUAAAAGCCGAGACGGUAUGAGAUGGACCCGCGUCUGAUUAGGUAGUUGGUGAGGUAACGGCUCACCAAGCCGACGAUCAGUAGCCGACCUGAGAGGGUGACCGGCCACAUUGGGACUGAGACACGGCCCAAACUCCUACGGGAGGCAGCAGUGGGGAAUAUUGCACAAUGGGCGAAAGCCUGAUGCAGCGACGCCGCGUGAGUGAGGAAGUAUUUCGGUAUGUAAAGCUCUAUCAGCAGGGAAGAAAAUGACGGUACCUGACUAAGAAGCCCCGGCUAACUACGUG
rnacentral:rRNA from 1 species